CCUGGGACUUACAUCCCAGGCUAACACAUAGCGUCGCUUCGCGACU
rnacentral:sRNA from 1 species